rnacentral:lncRNA from 1 species
UGGGGACCUUGGUGCUCUGCCAAGGGUCCCUUUUAGUGGCUUCUGAGAAAUCUCAGAAGGGGUUUUGUGUUGUAGAUGAAGAAUUACAGAUCUGGCUAAAACUCCUACUUAGCUGAGGGCUUGAAAAACAGAAAGAUACAGUGAUUUUCCCAAAGCUGCACAGCAGAUAGAGCUGAGAAUCUGCCAGUUUUCUAGUGUUCCUAGUGCUUUGUGUAUCACAUGAUCGUAUCACAUUACUGACACUGGCGCUUGCUGAGGAUCAGCUGGGGAGAGAUAACGCUGGUGUCUGUAAGCCACAAAGCACUCACACCUCUUGGCUGGUGAUCCACUGGCCAAAGUUGGAAUUCACUUGCCAACACCAGGGCAUACGCAAGAGGAACUGGCCACUGCUGACCAGUGAACCUGCCACCGAAUCUUGAUGAAAGGUUCCCACUACAUUUGCAGAACAGAUGCUGAGACCAAGGGAUCAUAUUUUACUGUAAUGGAAGCCGUCCGAAUGUAUGCCUCACCCAUCUGUCUUCUCUCAAGAACAUUCUCCAGAUUCAUUCACCUUGUCCCUCUCACCAGGCAUUUUGUAAAAUAUCCUGAACCGAGACAUUUGCCCUGGACAAUGAUUGCAAAGCUCACAGGAAAUCCAUUUAUGUAA